rnacentral:rRNA from 1 species
UACAGAGGUCCCAAGCGUUGUUCGGAUUCACUGGGCGUAAAGGGUGCGUAGGUGGCUUGGUAAGUUCGAUGUGAAAUCUCCGGGCUUAACCCGGAAAUGGCAUUGAAUACUAUUGAGCUGGAGGCUUGGAGGGGGGACUGGAAUUCUCGGUGUAGCAGUGAAAUGCGUAGAUAUCGAGAGGAACACCAGUGGCGAAGGCGAGUCCCUGGACAACACCUGACACUGAGGCACGAAAGCUAGGGGAGCAAACAGG